rnacentral:rRNA from 1 species
UGCGGUUAAAACGCUCGUAGUUGAUAUUCUGCUGACAGUUCUGGGUACGCCCUAGCGGCGCUAACUUCAGAAUGUGUUCGCAUCAUCUUAGGGAAUGAUAUUGUACUUAACUGUACGAAUCAGAAACUGGGUCUUUUACUUUGAGGAAAUCGGAGUGCUCCAAGCAAGCGAACGCCCUGCACACUGUAGCAUGGAAUAAUCUUACAAACUCCAUCUACCAUGGAUGACUCUGGUAGUGGAGGUUAUGGGGAAAAGGAACAAAUGGGGGUAUUUGUAUUUAACUGCUAGAGGUGAAAUUCUUGGAUUUGUUAAAGACAACCAGCUGCGAAGGCAUUUGCCAAGGAUGUUUUCAUUGAUCAAGAACGAAAGUUAAGGGAUCGAAGACGAUCAGAUACCGUCCUAGUCUUAACCGUAAACUAUGCCGACUAGGGAUUGAGGGAUAUUGUUACUAUGAUACUCUCAGCACCUUUGGAGAAAUCAAAGUUUCUGGGUUCCGGGGGGAGUAUGGUCGCAAGGCUGAAACUUAAAGGAAUUGACGGAAGGGCACCACCAGGAGUGGAGCCUGCGGCUUAAUUUGACUC